GGUCAUGAGACCCUUCUGGUGACCAACUCCUGACUCCAUCAUGAGAUGGUCACCAGAUGUUCUAAUCUACUCAUAAUAACUCCAUCGUGUUUGGGCUCAAUAGAUUUGCCCCGACGAGCACCAUCGAUCUAGAUGAAGUCCAGGUUCUCAUGAUGGAGUCAGUAAUGAAUCUAGAUGAAGUCCAGGUUUUCAUGAUGGAGUCAGGAGUUGGUCACCAGAACUCCUAAUCUACUCAUCAUAACUCCAUCGUGUUUGGGCUCAAUAGAUUUUCCUUGACGAGCACUAUCGAUCUAGAUGCGGUUGAUAGAUUAUUAAUAUUAUUUUAUUUUACAUACAUACUUACAAAUAAAGCUUCAUUUGCUUCCCACAAGGAUCAAGUAAACCUUAUAAAUCAACUUCGUUCUAAAUAAAAACCGGCCAAGUGCGAGUCGGACUCGCACACGAAGGGUUCCGUACCAUUAUCUAUAAAAACGGUCACCCAUCCAAGUACUGACCCCGCCCGAGCCCGACGUUGCUUAACUUCUAUCAAAAAUCACGUUUACAACAGUAUGGGAGCCCCACUUAAAUCUUUAUUUUAUUCUGUUUUAGUAUUUGUUGUUAUAGCGGCAACAGAAAUACAUCAUCUGUGAAAAUUUCAACUGUCUAGCUAUCUCGAUUCGUGAGAUACAGCCUGGUGAUUGACGGACGGACGGACGGACGGACAGCGGAGUCUUAGUAAUAGGGUCCCGUUUUACCCUUUGGGUACGGAACCCUAAAAACGGAGAUACUUCUGUUUUAGACAUAAAAUCGAACUUCAGAGAGUUCAGUAGUUGUUACUUGCAGGUACUCUCGAAUUUAUUGUCAUUAUACAGGGUGGCCAUAAAAUAAGUGCUUUUCCGCUGCUGGCAAGAAAAUGGUUGCUGGAAAAAAAAUUACCCUCCCAUAGAAAAUGGACUAGACAAAAUGUAUGAAAUAGCCAAAUUUUUUUUUCGCGAUUUCGGGGUUGGUCCCAUCGCGGUUCGCGGUUGCUUAGUUCAGUAUAAUCCCUAAACCUCCCUGGCAACGGGAAUGCACUUAUUUUUGGCCACCCUGUAUAUAUUAUUAUUUAAUAUAACCUUAUCUUUAAAACAUUUAAUUAUUCAACUUCCUUGGUGAACUGACUUGAAUAAGUUACUUGACUUCGUGGAUGAACUUGUCACAAUAAUUCCAUGACAUACAGAGGUAAACAAUCAUUAUUUUUUACUCGUCGUUGGUUAUAUAUUAUCUCAUCACAUAUACUCUAUUGACUACUACCAUGCUUAUAAAAUAAAAUACAGAGUGCCAAUAUAACGUUAAAAUAAAUUUACUUGCAAAUUAAAUUGAAAAGUAUCAAAAUUAUUCUUGUCUGCGUUGAAACGCGCUUAGCUUUGCCGGCGCUCGCGUACCGAGCGCUAACGCCAUCUAUCGAGUGUUAUUUCGCAAAAUCGGUGAACGCUCUAAGGAAUAAGGGCUCUUAAAUAAU